rnacentral:lncRNA from 1 species
GGUUCUUGCAGGGACUCCAGAGGAGAGGGAAACAUGCUUCUGUAUACUGGCUGCUCAUUCUGCUGUUGCAGAUGCUGGUGGGAAACAAUCAAACCCAUUUGCAUUAGACAGAAUCUGGAACACUUACAGACCCAUCCUGAAUUAUGCCCAGCACUAUCUGAUGGAAUGACCUCAGGAGGAAAGAGGAGUGACCAGUUGAGCAGGGAUGACCACAUACAAUUCAUGCUUCAAGGGAAUGGAUAUGGUAAAAAAAGAUGUAUUAUUUGAGAUCUUCA